rnacentral:rRNA from 1 species
UACGUAGGUGCCCAGCGUUGUCCGGAUUUACUGGGCGUAAAGAGCGCGCAGGCGGUCGUUCAAGUCGAGUGUGAAAGCCCCCGGCUCAACUGGGGAGGGUCACUCGAUACUGAUCGACUUGAAGGCAGGAGAGGGAAGCGGAAUUCCCGGUGUAGUGGUGAAAUGCGUAGAGAUCGGCAGGAACACCCAGGGGGAAACCAGCCGACUGGGCAUCUGCUGACGCUGAGGUGCGAGAGCGUGGGGAGCGAACCGG